AUUGAACGCUGGCGGCAGGCCUAACACAUGCAAGUCGAACGGUAACAGGAAGAAGCUUGCUUCUUUGCUGACGAGUGGCGGACGGGUGAGUAAUGUCUGGGAAACUGCCUGAUGGAGGGGGAUAACUACUGGAAACGGUAGCUAAUACCGCAUAACGUCGCAAGACCAAAGAGGGGGACCUUCGGGCCUCUUGCCAUCGGAUGUGCCCAGAUGGGAUUAGCUAGUAGGUGGGGUAACGGCUCACCUAGGCGACGAUCCCUAGCUGGUCUGAAAGGAUGACCAGCCACACUGGAACUGAGACACGGUCCAGACUCCUACGGGAGGCAGCAGUGGGGAAUAUUGCACAAUGGGCGCAAGCCUGAUGCAGCCAUGCCGCGUGUAUGAAGAAGGCCUUCGGGUUGUAAAGUACUUUCAGCGGGGAGGAAGGGAGUAAAGUUAAUACCUUUACUCAUUGACGUUACCCGCAGAAGAAGCACCGGCUAACUCCGUG
rnacentral:rRNA from 1 species